rnacentral:lncRNA from 1 species
AUUCCACAGCCUGAGGUGCCACCAAAGCCAUAAGCCCAGGGGAGUCUCUCACACCCCAUUCUCCUAGGGCCCAUGUACCCCACGCCCACCUCCACCCCAGGAGCCGAAGGCCGGCAGGGAGCCUGGAGAGCCUCCUUGAUGGGAGAACUGCGGAGCUUGCCCCUCGGAAAAGUGCAUGGGGUGGAGAACAGGGAAGGAGAAAAAAACAACAACUGGGUACUCGCAGCCCCACCGCGGUGUCCGCUUCGCCGGUGGGAGAGGAUCCUCGCCGCCCUGAAUCCUUGAAAUCCUUGCCGAGCAUCUGCUCUGUACAGGCCGUGUACUAAGUGCUAGAGAGAUGGUGUGGGGUAGAUAAUGGCUUCCAGAGAUGUUCACGUCCUGAUCCACAGAUCCUGACAUCAUGACCUCCAGUGUGCAUUCAACCUAACAGAGCUGCUAAACUCAUUGCCUUUCUGCUCUGCCUCUCCUCUCUCCUGCAACACCCUCUCUGUCUCAUAAAUAUAGUCACAAUUUUCUCAUGGUUUAAGCCAAGAAACAGUUAAAAACUCUAAAGUCUUUUAUCCAAUGCAUUAAAAAACUGAGAUACUAAAUUAGAUAAGUUGUUAUCCGGUAGAACUCACGAAAGAAUCAAAUGUUCUCGACAAAAUUUAGAACAAAAUUUGACCCUGGAAAAUGGAGGUGAUAGAAAUAAAGUCCACAAAAGGAAACUUGCCACGGCAGCAGCUAUCAUUGGUGAAAGUUGAUAUUGACAAAAAUCGAUCUAUGAACCACAGUUCUGAUAUAAAAUUCAAAUGAAAAAGAAUUGGUCCCAAUGAAAAUAAUUUCAGUCCAUUGGAAAUGAAAAAGUGGAAAAAUUGGAAAUAGUUUAACCGAGCUUUUUACAGAAUUGAUCAAGGAAUUAAAUUGACUUAAUGGAGUCCAUUCUGGAAAACCCUUUCCCAAGAAAAAUUCAUCAGUCAGAGAACUUCUGAGUUACAUAUUUGUAUUAAAAAUAUCUCCAUAGGCUGGGUGCAGUGGCUCAUGCAUGUAAUCCCAGCACUUUGGGAGGCCGAGGCAGGCGAAUCACUUGAGGUCAGGAGUUCGAGACCAGCCUGGCCAACAUGGUGGCAGACGCCUGUAAUCUCAGCUAUUUGCGAAGCAGGGGAAUCGCUUGAACCCAGAAGGUGGAGGUUGCAGUGAGCCGAGAUCACGCCACUGCACUCCAGCCUGGGUGAAAGAGCGAGACUCCGUGUCAACAACAACAAAAACAACAAUAUCUCCAUAGGUAUUUGGUAGUAAAAAUGAAAAAAAGAGAGAAAAAUGUCUCCAGUGGAUCCUCCAUGAGAUUUUCAUGAAGAACCCAGGAGUGCUGGUCUGUGGUGGGAGCUUCACCCGGGAGGAGUAGAGAGGGCUGGGAGAGGGUGAUGUCUGGUACCUUUGGGCCCCUCUCCAUAAAAAUGUAGAAAAAAUUAGAUUAUAUGACUGCAUAGAUAUACAGAUGAAUGCAAUUCAGGCUGGAUUCCUUAUUUUAGAUUCAUUGUUAUUAUGUUCUUUUAUUCUUCUGAUUUUAAAAUAAAUUAAAAUUAAACAUU